rnacentral:rRNA from 1 species
CGGCCUGCGCGGAAGAUGUAACGGGGCUAAACCAUGCACCGAAGCUGCGGCAGCGACACUGUGUGUUGUUGGGUAGGGGAGCGUUCUGUAAGCCUGUGAAGGUGGCCUGUGAGGGUUGCUGGAGGUAUCAGAAGUGCGAAUGCUGACAUAAGUAACGAUAAAGCGGGUGAAAAGCCCGCUCGCCGGAAGACCAAGGGUUCCUGUCCAACGUUAAUCGGGGCAGGGUGAGUCGACCCCUAAGGCGAGGCCGAAAGGCGUAGUCGAUGGGAAACGGGUUAAUAUUCCCGUACUUGGUGUUACUGCGAAGGGGGGACGGAGAAGGCUAUGUUGGCCGGGCGACGGUUGUCCCGGUUUAAGCGUGUAGGUGUGUGUUCCAGGUAAAUCCGGUUCACUUUAACACUGAGGCGUGACGACGAGGCACUACGGUGCUGAAGCAACAAAUGCCCUGCUUCCAGGAAAAGCCUCUAAGCAUCAGGUAACAUCAAAUCGUACCCCAAACCGACACAGGUGGUCAGGUAGAGAAUACCAAGGCGCUUGAGAGAACUCGGGUGAAGGAACUAGGCAAAAUGGUGCCGUAACUUCGGGAGAAGGCACGCUGACACGUAGGUGAAGUGAUUUACUCACGGAGCUGAAGUCAGUCGAAGAUACCAGCUGGCUGCAACUGUUUAUUAAAAACACAGCACUGUGCAAACACGAAAGUGGACGUAUACGGUGUGACGCCUGCCCGGUGCCGGAAGGUUAAUUGAUGGGGUCAGCGCAAGCGAAGCUCCUGAUCGAAGCCCCGGUAAACGGCGGCCGUAACUAUAACGGUCCUAAGGUAGCGAAAUUCCUUGUCGGGUAAGUUCCGACCUGCACGAAUGGCGUAAUGAUGGCCAGGCUGUCUCCACCCGAGACUCAGUGAAAUUGAACUCGCUGUGAAGAUGCAGUGUACCCGCGGCAAGACGGAAAGACCCCGUGAACCUUUACUAUAGCUUGACACUGAACAUUGAGCCUUGAUGUGUAGGAUAGGUGGGAGGCUUUGAAGCGUGGACGCCAGUCUGCGUGGAGCCGACCUUGAAAUACCACCCUUUAAUGUUUGAUGUUCUAACGUGGACCCGUGAUCCGGGUUGCGGACAGUGUCUGGUGGGUAGUUUGACUGGGGCGGUCUCCUCCUAAAGAGUAACGGAGGAGCACGAAGGUUGGCUAAUCCUGGUCGGACAUCAGGAGGUUAGUGCAAUGGCAUAAGCCAGCUUGACUGCGAGCGUGACGGCGCGAGCAGGUGCGAAAGCAGGUCAUAGUGAUCCGGUGGUUCUGAAUGGAAGGGCCAUCGCUCAACGGAUAAAAGGUACUCCGGGGAUAACAGGCUGAUACCGCCCAAGAGUUCAUAUCGACGGCGGUGUUUGGCACCUCGAUGUCGGCUCAUCACAUCCUGGGGCUGAAGUAGGUCCCAAGGGUAUGGCUGUUCGCCAUUUAAAGUGGUACGCGAGCUGGGUUUAGAACGUCGUGAGACAGUUCGGUCCCUAUCUGCCGUGGGCGCUGGAGAACUGAGGGGGGCUGCUCCUAGUACGAGAGGACCGGAGUGGACGCAUCACUGGUGUUCGGGUUGUCAUGCCAAUGGCACUGCCCGGUAGCUAAAUGCGGAAGAGAUAAGUGCUGAAAGCAUCUAAGCACGAAACUUGCCCCGAG